GGAGUUAGCCGGUGCUUCUUCUGUGAGUGAUGUCCUUCCUGCCGGCUAUUAACCCGCAGGCCUUCUUCCUCACUGAAAGUGCUUUACAACCCGAAGGCCUUCUUCACACACGCGGCAUGGCUGGAUCAGGGUUGCCCCCAUUAUCCAAUAUUCCCCACUGCUGCCUCCCGUAGGAGUCUGGGCCGUGUCUCAGUCCCAGUGUGGCUGAUCAUCCUCUCAGACCAGCUACGGAUCGUCGCCUUGGUGAGCCGUUACCUCACCAACCAGCUAAUCCGACAUAGGCUCAUCCGAUAGCGCGAGGCCCGAAGGUCCCCCGCUUUCCCCCGUAGGGCGUAUGCGGUAUUAGCCUGGGUUUCCCCAGGUUAUCCCCCACUACCGGGCAGAUUCCUAUGCAUUACUCACCCGUCCGCCGCUCGCCACCAGGGAGCAAGCUCCCCGUGCUGCCGCUCGACUUGCAUGUGUUAGGCCUGCCGCCAGCGUUCAAUCUGAGCCAGGAUCAAACUCUGA
rnacentral:rRNA from 1 species